UAUGGCUUAACCAUAGAACUGCUUGGGAAACUGAUAAUCUAGAGUGAGGGAGAGGCAGAUGGAAUUGGUGGUGUAGGGGUAAAAUCCGUAGAGAUCACCAGGAAUACCCAUUGCGAAGGCGAUCUGCUGGAACUCAACUGACGCUAAUGCGUGAAAGCGUGGGGAGCAAACAGGAUUAGAUACCCUGGUAGUCCACGCCCUAAACGAUGUAUACUAGUUGUUGCUAAGCUAGUCUUGGCAGUAAUGCACCUAACGGAUUAAGUAUACCGCCUGGGGAGUACGGUCGCAAGAUUAAAACUCAAAGGAAUAGACGGGGACCCGCACAAGCGGUGGAGCAUGUGGUUUAAUUCGAAGAUACGCGAAGAACCUUACCCGGACUUGAUAUCUAACAAAUCAUCUAGAGAUAGAAGAGUGUCUGCUUGCAGAAAUGUUAAGACAGGUGCUGCACGGCUGUCGUCAGCUCGUGUCGUGAGAUGUUGGGUUAAGUCCCGCAACGAGCGCAACCCACGUCAUUAGUUG
rnacentral:rRNA from 1 species